rnacentral:rRNA from 1 species
CCUACGGGAGGCAGCAGUGAGGAAUAUUGGUCAAUGGACGAGAGUCUGAACCAGCCAAGUAGCGUGAAGGAUGACUGCCCUAUGGGUUGUAAACUUCUUUUAUAUGGGAAUAAAACGUUCCACGUGUGGGAUUUUGUAUGUACCAUAUGAAUAAGGAUCGGCUAACUCCGUGCCAGCAGCCGCGGUAAUACGGAGGAUCCGAGCGUUAUCCGGAUUUAUUGGGUUUAAAGGGAGCGUAGGUGGAUUGUUAAGUCAGUUGUGAAAGUUUGCGGCUCAACCGUAAAAUUGCAGUUGAAACUGGCAGUCUUGAGUACAGUAGAGGUGGGCGGAAUUCGUGGUGUAGCGGUGAAAUGCUUAGAUAUCACGAAGAACUCCGAUUGCGAAGGCAGUUCACUGGACUGCAACUGACACUGAGGCUCGAAAGUGUGGGUAUCAAACAGGAUUAGAUACCCCUUAGUC